CAAACUCCAUGGAGACAGAAGCUCCUGUGUUUAAAACCCUUCUGGACCUCGCCGCCCGUGGUGAAGAGAACAAGUUCAUUUCAAGCACUAUGUGUCCUAGGCUCUGUAAGCACAAUGGAAGAAAUUGAAGACAAUGCAAGAUGAUGAAGCCUACAUAAGAUAACUCCCUAGCACACAGUCCCGAUGUUCACAUGUUUCAGAGAUGGUUGACAGAAGCUCUACGUACUCAAGAAUUUCUGCAUCAAGGCACUUUCUGUUGACUUGCCAUUUGCAAAUUGUCUUGAUGAGGUACUACCAAGGAGCUUUCCCAGUGGUUGGCACAUCCAGGAAGCAGGUGGCACCCUCUGGUUCUGAAGACCUCAAAAUGUCCUAACACCUGGAACCUGUCAAUGCGACCUUACUUGGAAACAGGGUCUCUGCAGAUGUUAUUAGUUACAGAUCUCAAGACGAGAUCAUCCUGGAUGAGGGUGGCUCUAACUCCAGUGACAGGUCUCCUUAUAAGAGACAGAAGAGGAGACACAGACACAGAGAAGAAGCCACGUGGAGACGGAGGCAGAGAUGGAGGGAGGUGGCCACCAGCCCAGGGACGCCUGGAGACCCAGAAGCUGGAAGAGGCAGGAAGGACCCUCCCCUGGAGCCUCUGGAGGGAGCGCAGCCCUGAGACACCUUCCUCUCAGACUUCUGAUCUGCAGAACUGUGAGAAACUCAUUUUCUGUUGUUUUGAGCUGCCCAAUCUGUGGUUCUUUGUUAUGGCAGCCCCAGGACACUAACAGAGCUGUAAUCCUGGACAACCUUUGUUUUCUCAUGUAUAUGACAGGGAUCCUCUUAUGUAUUUGGUACAAAGCCCACCAGAAGGAUUUGGUUACUGAAUGCAUACCUGCCUUAUGCUCCUGGCAGUUGUUGUGAGGCCCAAAGAAGAGUUUGGAAAAGCGUUUUGCAAACUGUAAAGUAUUAUACACAUGUGAAUGUCACUGUUUCCUCCCGCAAGUGAAUGGAAGGUUGCUAACUUUUGGGUAACGUAUACAGACAAUCAAUAGAAGUCAUAAAUCAGGAUCAACACUAAUUUUCUUUAAA